rnacentral:misc_RNA from 1 species
GAUGAAGAACGCAGCGAAAUGCGAUAACUAAUGUGAAUUGCAGAAUUCCGUGAAUCAUCGAGUCUUUGAACGCACAUUGCGCCCCCUGGUAUUCCGGGGGGCAUGCCUGUCCGAGCGUCAUUGCUGCCCAUCAAGCACGGCUUGUGUGUUGGGUCCCGUCCCCCUCUCCCGGGGGACGGACCCGAAAGGCAGCGGCGGCACCGCGUCCGGUCCUCGAGCGUAUGGGGCUUUGUCACCCGCUCUUGUAGGCCCGGCCGGCGCUUGCCGACACCCAACCAUUUUUUUCAGGUUGACCUCGGAUCAGGUAGGGAUACCCGCUGAACUUAAGCAUAUCAAUAGCGGAGGA